rnacentral:rRNA from 1 species
UACAGAGGGUGCAAGCGUUAAUCGGAGUUACUGGGCGUAAAGGGCGCGUAGGUGGAUAUUUAAGUUGGAUGUGAAAUCCCUGGGCUUAACCUAGGAAUGGCAUACAAAACUGGAUAUCUGGAGUACUGUAGAGGGUAGUGGAAUUUCCGGUGUAGCGGUGAAAUGCGUAGAGAUCGGAAGGAACACCAGUGGCGAAGGCGGCUACCUGGACAGAUACUGACACUGAGGCGCGAAAGCGUGGGGAUCAAACAGG